CUUUCCCAGCUCAGUUCAGCAACAAUAUCUAUGGGAAACAGCUGUGACAGUUCCCUUCAGCACAAUAUCCACAGGUCCAAGCUGUUAAAACUGUGGUUAGUCUGCUUGGGCUAUUGCUGUCUGCAAUACUCUUCAUAGAAGUAAGCAUUCUGCCUGAGACUGAGCUGUGGUUACAGAAACUUUGGACAAAUGCUGCAAAACUCAGAAGCAGUUUUUAUUCAAGUCAAAUGCAUCAAUGGAUGUUGCUGUAAAAGAAAGGUGGCCAGCUUUCUUUAGCUCGAACAGAGGAACUCAACAAUACUAUGGAGCAAAGUGAGAAACAUUAAAUAUGAAUAGACUAAUGAGCUCUGGAACUUAAUGUUUUCCAGAUGGUACUUAAGAUAUCCUUAUUUAUUGCUCCUCAUCCAACAUUUUGACUUCAAAUGGAAAAACAAACCUGGUAGUCUGCAAGCUGAAGGUGUGGCGGGCCACUAUACUGCCUUGGCUGACGUCCCUGCUAUUCUGGGUCCUUUUGUGGCUUUUGAAAAUCCAGAAUCACCGAUGUUACAGUUGAUCUGAAUCACAGAGCAUCCUUUAAGAGCACACUGUGGAGGGAACUCAAGGUACUGUAAUGGUGUUGUAGUGGUGCUGCUGACAGCCAUAUAUGCAGCAACUCUAUAACUGUAUAAACACAUUUCUGCUCCUCUGCUGGGGAGAGGGACAGCUCAUCAACAUGUUUGGCCCAAAUUCAGAAUAACCUUUGUUUUUCUACUGCUCUAUGGCAUUUGGCAGACAAAAGAAGACUUGAAACUGGCUAAUGCUGCCUUCAUGCUCAGCAUCUUGCUGCUGUGUGGGCUAGCAGGAGGUGUUUGGCCUGAGCAGACAGUCUGGUAGUGCUCAUUGGGGUGGCCUUAUGUAUUCAUAUUCGAGGGGCAGUUGAAGCUUUGGUUUAAGAUAAAAGUCAGGACUUGGUGACUCAAAUUGCUACCCAAGCAGUAUAAAUUUAGAAAGCAGUCUAUAAUCCUCAAACCAGCAGAUGUUUCCUAUAUUUGUUGAAAAUGUCUGAUGCACAGGCUGGAAAAGAAUAUGAAAUACCUUAAGUAGUGCAGGUAAUUGUGCCAAGUCUCAUCUGAUUAAUAUAGUUAAUAUCACCACUUCUU
rnacentral:lncRNA from 1 species